AUUGAACGCUGGCGGAAUGCUUUACACAUGCAAGUCGAACGGCAGCACGGACUUCGGUCUGGUGGCGAGUGGCGAACGGGUGAGUAAUACAUCGGAACGUGCCCAAUCGUGGGGGAUAACGUAGCGAAAGCUACGCUAAUACCGCAUACGAUCUAAGGAUGAAAGCGGGGGAUCGCAAGACCUCGCGCGAUUGGAGCGGCCGAUGGCAGAUUAGGUAGUUGGUAGGGUAAAGGCCUACCAAGCCGACGAUCUGUAGCUGGUCUGGGAGGAUGAUCAGCCACACUGGGACUGAGACACGGCCCAGACUCCUACGGGAGGCAGCAGUGGGGAAUUUUGGACAAUGGACGCAAGUCUGAUCCAGCCAUUCCGCGUGCAGGAUGAAGGCCCUCGGGUUGUAAACUGCUUUUGUACAGAACGAAAAGGCUCUGGUUACUACCUAGGGCUCAUGACGGUACUGUAAGAAUAAGCACCGGCUAACUACGUGCCAGCAGCCGCGGUAA
rnacentral:rRNA from 1 species